UACGGAGGGUGCAAGCGUUAUCCGGAUUCACUGGGUUUAAAGGGAGCGUAGGUGGGCAGGUAAGUCAGCGGUGAAAUCUCCGAGCUUAACUCGGAAACUGCCAUUGAUACUAUCUGUCUUGAAUUAUCUGGAGGUGAGCGGAAUAUGUCAUGUAGCGGUGAAAUGCUUAGAUAUGACAUAGAACACCAAUUGCGAAGGCAGCUCACUACGGAUACAUUGACACUGAGGCACGGAAAGCGUGGGGAUCAAACCAGG
rnacentral:rRNA from 1 species